ACCUACCGGUUCUUUUUCAAUCACUGAAGUUAAACAACAUUGGGGCUGGUUAGUACCUAGAUGGGUGACCGCUUCGGAAUAUCAGGCGCUGUAAG